rnacentral:rRNA from 1 species
GACGAACGCUGGCGGCGUGCUUAACACAUGCAAGUCGAACGGAAAGGCCCUGCUUUUGUGGGGUGCUCGAGUGGCGAACGGGUGAGUAACACGUGAGUAACCUGCCCUUGACUUUGGGAUAACUUCAGGAAACUGGGGCUAAUAUCGGAUAGGAGCUCCUGCUGCAUGGUGGGGGUUGGAAAGUUUCGGCGGUUGUGGAUGGAUUCGCGGCUUACCAGCUUGUUGGUGGGGUAGUGGCUUACCAAGGCUUGGGCGGGUAGCCGGCCUGAGAGGGUGGCCGGCCACCUGAGGACUGCGAUACGGCCCAGUGUCGUACGGGAGGCAGCAGUGGCGAAUAUUGCACAGUGAGCGGACGCCUGAUACAGCAGCGCCGCGUGCGGGAUGCCGGCCUUCGGGUUAAAAAACGCUUUCGCCUGUGACGACGCUUGACUGACGGUAAUGGGUGAAGAAGCACCGGCUAACUACGUG